rnacentral:rRNA from 1 species
CUGGCGGCGUGCCUAACACAUGCAAGUCGAACGGGGUGUCGAGAGCUUGCUCUUGACACUUAGUGGCGAACGGGUGAGUAACGCGUGAGAAACCUGCCUCUCAGUGGGGGACAACAGUUGGAAACGACUGCUAAUACCGCAUAAUGUAUCCGGAGGGCAUCCACUUGAUAUCAAAGGAGCAAUCCGCUGUAAGAUGGACUCGCGUCUGAUUAGCUAGUUGGUGAGGUAACGGCCCACCAAGGCGACGAUCAGUAGCCGGACUGAGAGGUUGACCGGCCACAUUGGGACUGAGAUACGGCCCAGACUCCUACGGGAGGCAGCAGUGGGGAAUAUUGGGCAAUGGGCGCAAGCCUGACCCAGCAACGCCGCGUGAAGGAAGAAGGCUUUCGGGUUGUAAACUUCUUUUGUCAGGGAAGAGUAGAAGACUGUACCUGACGAAUAAGCCACGGCUAACUACGUG